rnacentral:lncRNA from 1 species
GGACAUACACGAGCUUCCAAAAAAUUUAAUAUAUAUUAUUUUUAUUUUUAUUUUUAUUUUAUUUUUGGGACUAAAUUGGCAAUUUAGUUUUUUUUUCUUAAUGUCUAAAAAAGAAAUCUUAUUGUAAGAGGGAAAUCUUAUUGUAAAAACAAACCAAAUGAACAAAAAAUAAUGGCACGGGUGUCAAUAGUUUAAUGAUAUGGAUGUUUUGAGAUACUUUUAAAAAUAUAGGGACUAAACUGAUACCAACCUCAUAAGAUAAAGAUUAAACGAGCCUUUAC